rnacentral:rRNA from 1 species
UACGGAGGAUGCAAGCGUUAUCCGGAAUUAUUGGGCGUAAAGCGUCCGCAGGUGGUUACCCAAGUCUGCUGUUAAAGCGCGAGGCUUAACUUCGUACAGGCAGUGGAAACUGGGUGACUGGAGUAUGGUAGGGGUAGCGGGAAUUCCCAGUGUAGCGGUGAAAUGCGCAGAUAUCGGGAGGAACACCAACGGCGAAGGCAGCUUGCUGGGACGGUACUGACGCUGAGAUGCGAAAGCGUGGGGAGCAAACAGG